rnacentral:rRNA from 1 species
UACGAAGGGGGCUAGCGUUGUUCGGAUUUACUGGGCGUAAAGCGCACGUAGGCGGAUCGUUAAGUCGGGGGUGAAAUCCUGGAGCUCAACUCCAGAACUGCCUUUGAUACUGAGAAUCUUGAGUUCGGGAGAGGUGAGUGGAACUGCGAGUGUAGAGGUGAAAUUCGUAGAUAUUCGCAAGAACACCAGUGGCGAAGGCGGCUCACUGGCCCGAUACUGACGCUGAGGCACGAAAGCGUGGGGAGCGAACAGG